rnacentral:rRNA from 1 species
UACGAAGGGGGCUAGCGUUGCUCGGAAUCACUGGGCGUAAAGGGUGCGUAGGCGGGUCUUUAAGUCAGGGGUGAAAUCCUGGAGCUCAACUCCAGAACCGCCUUUGAUACUGAAGAUCUUGAGUUCGGGAGAGGUGAGUGGAACUGCGAGUGUAGAGGUGAAAUUCGUAGAUAUUCGCAAGAACACCAGUGGCGAAGGCGGCUCACUGGCCCGAUACUGACGCUGAGACGCGAAAGCGUGGGGAGCGAACAGG